rnacentral:misc_RNA from 1 species
AACGCACAUUGCGCCCCUUGGUAUUCCAUGGGGCAUGCCUGUUCGAGCGUCAUUUUGUACCCUCAAGCUUUGCUUGGUGAUGGGUGUUUGUUCCGCUGCAACGCGUGAACUCGCCUCAAAUCAAUUGGCAGCCGGCAAUCUGGUGUUUGAGCGCAGCACAUUUUGUGCUCUUCGCUGUGUAUUGCGGGCGUCCAUGAAGCCUAUAUUUUCACGCUUGACCUCGGAUCAGGUAGGGAUACCCGCUGAACUUAA